rnacentral:rRNA from 1 species
GCAGUCGAGGGGCAUCGGGGAGCGAAGCUUGCUUUGCUCCGCCGGCGACCGGCGCACGGGUGAGUAACGCGUAUGCAACCUGCCCGUUUCAGCGGGAUAACCCGGAGAAAUCCGGCCUAAUACCGCAUGUGGCCGAGGGAAGGCAUCUUCUUUCGGCCAAAGGAGGCGACUCCGGAGACGGAUGGGCAUGCGUGACAUUAGCUUGUUGGCGGGGUAACGGCCCACCAAGGCGACGAUGUCUAGGGGUUCUGAGAGGAAGGUCCCCCACACUGGUACUGAGACACGGACCAGACUCCUACGGGAGGCAGCAGUGAGGAAUAUUGGUCAAUGGGCGAGAGCCUGAACCAGCCAAGUCGCGUGAAGGAUGACGGCCCUACGGGUUGUAAACUUCUUUUGUCAGGGAGCAAUUGAGUCCACGUGUGGGCUUAGCGAGAGUACCUGAAGAAAAAGCAUCGGCUAACUCCGUGCCAGCAGCCGCGGUAAUACGGAGGAUGCGAGCGUUAUCCGGAUUUAUUGGGUUUAAAGGGUGCGUAGGCGGAAUAUCAAGUCAGCGGUAAAAAUUCGGGGCUCAACCCCGUCGUGCCGUUGAAACUGAUGUUCUUGAGUGGGCGAGAAGUAUGCGGAAUGCGUGGUGUAGCGGUGAAAUGCAUAGAUAUCACGCAGAACUCCGAUUGCGAAGGCAGCAUACCGGCGCCCAACUGACGCUGAAGCACGAAAGCGUGGGUAUCGAACAGGAUUAGAUACCCUGGUAGUCCACGCAGUAAACGAUGAAUGCUAAUUGUCCGGAGGGAUUGACCUCUGGGUGAUACAGCGAAAGCGUUAAGC